rnacentral:rRNA from 1 species
UGGUUAAAAAGCUCGUAGUUGGAUCUCAACAGCCUUGAAGCGGUUAACUUUGUAGUUUUACUGCUUUAUAGGCUGUGCUUUUGCUGGAGGUUUAGGGGUGCUCUUGAUCGAGUGUCUCUGGAUGCCAGCAGGUUUACUUUGAAAAAAUUAGAGUGCUCAAAGCGGGCUAAAAUGCCUGAAUAUUCGUGCAUGGAAUAAUAGAAUAGGAUGUCGAUCCUAUUUUGUUGGUUUUCGGGACUCGACAUAAUGAUAAAUAGGGACAGUCGGGGGCAUUUGUAUUCAAACGACAGAGGUGAAAUUCUUGGACCGUUUGAAGACAAACUACUGCGAAAGCAUUUGCCAAGAAUGUUUUCAUUAAUCAAGAACGAAAGUUAGAGGUUCGAAGGCGAUUAGAUACCGCCCUAGUUCUAACCAUAAACGAUGCCAGCUAGCGAUCUGCCUGCGUUUUUACUGUAGACUGGGCAGGAAGCUUCCGGGAAACCAAAGCAUUUGGGUUCCAGGGGAAGUAUGGUUGCAAAGCUGAAACUUAAAGGAAUUGACGGAAGGGCACCACCAGGAGUGGAGCCUGUGGCUUAAUUUGACUCAACACGGGAAAUCUCACCAGGCC